rnacentral:rRNA from 1 species
GUUGUUGUGAGAAGUUCAUUAAACCUUAUCAUUUAGAGGAAGGAGAAGUCGUAACAAGGUUUCCGUAGGUGAACCUGCGGAAGGAUCAUUG